AAAACAUGUUAGGAAAAUGCACCAGAACUACCAUUCCCUCUCCUAAUGGCAGGACAUAGUCUAGCAAAGUCUGUGCUAUGGUCAGAUUCUCUAUUUGUUGCUUUUUUUUUUUUUCUUUUUUUUUGUAGACAUGCUUUUGGCACUCUUAGUUGCCUCUGAAAGACACCUUCAGCUCACUUCCAAGCUACUUGCUUUCAAUGGCUUUGAUAAGAAUUCCUGGGAGAAUGAAGGAAGCACUUUCUUUUUGGAUACCACCUGAGGACCUUGCCUAUACCUUCUUACUGGUUUAAGAACAUGAAGGGGUGAUGGGGCAAAGCAUCCCUCUCUGCAGAUCAUUCCCAAGCUCAGGUGCUGUGAGAUGGGGCAUAGAUUCCCUUGUACCACGUACAGCAAGAGGUAAUGCAACCACCUGAGAGGAGGGACACAAUUGCCAGUUAGCGCUGUCACUGAUUUAGGAAGCGGUUUAUAUCAAUCUUUGCAGACUGACUGAAUCACGGCUGUGGUUUGGUGGCACUUUCCCGGCAUGGGCUGAAAAAGCUGUCACGCUGAAAAUGAUGUGAAUGGUCAUUAGAGAGCUCCUGCUGUCCCCUAGGGAGGUGAGCUAACCAAGGUGCUAUUGCGUCAUUCUCCCCUCAUGAGCUGGAAGGUGACGAAGUUAGGGGAACGUGACCUGUAGCAGUUGUGUUGAAUGUGAAAAGUGUGGCAUGGUGCCUGUUGACUUUAUUUACCUGACUGUUAUCUCUGGACUUCCCUCCAACUAUACAUUGUUUAAGAGGAAUUUCUCUAGAGAUUACAGAGGUAAGACAUCUGUCUUAACACAAGGUUUAUUACUUUUCUUAGUGUUCUUUCCAUGUUUUUGAUGUGAAUUGACAGAGGAAUUAAGCAGCAAGAAUUAAAUGACAGAAACAUUUUACGUUGGAUGUCAGAAGAUAUCUCUUCCCAGCAUGACUGUUGUGUGCUCUGCUCAGUACAGACUUCCUCUGAUCACUGGCACGUUGAAGAAGUCCCUCCUCCAAGAUUUCUGUAAUAAUGUGAAGAUGAAAGACAGAAAUCAAGACUAUGUGAAAUGUUGAUUGGGGGUCUGAAUUUAACUGGCAAAAGAGAUUAGUUCCUGAAAAUUACAUUAGCAGUGGCUUGAAAACCUAUUCAAAUAAAAAAAAUGAGUAAGGAACUCUGGAUUACAGUCAUACUUGUAUUUUUGAAAGACAAAGAGGGAACCAGAAAUGCUAUAUUGUUAAG
ensembl:lncRNA